rnacentral:rRNA from 1 species
UUGGUACUUGUACCGACUGGAUGAGCAGCGAACGGGUGAGUAACGCGUGGGGAAUCUGCCUUUGAGCGGGGGACAACAUUUGGAAACGAAUGCUAAUACCGCAUAAAAACUUUAAACACAAGUUUUAAGUUUGAAAGAUGCAAUUGCAUCACUCAAAGAUGAUCCCGCGUUGUAUUAGCUAGUUGGUGAGGUAAAGGCUCACCAAGGCGAUGAUACAUAGCCGACCUGAGAGGGUGAUCGGCCACAUUGGGACUGAGACACGGCCCAAACUCCUACGGGAGGCAGCAGUAGGGAAUCUUCGGCAAUGGACGAAAGUCUGACCGAGCAACGCCGCGUGAGUGAAGAAGGUUUUCGGAUCGUAAAACUCUGUUGGUAGAGAAGAACGUUGGUGAGAGUGGAAAGCUCAUCAAGUGACGGUAACUACCCAGAAAGGGACGGCUAACUACGUGCCAGCAGCCGCGGUAAUACGUAGGUCCCGAGCGUUGUCCGGAUUUAUUGGGCGUAAAGCGAGCGCAGGUGGUUUAUUAAGUCUGGUGUAAAAGGCAGUGGCUCAACCAUUGUAUGCAUUGGAAACUGGUAGACUUGAGUGCAGGAGAGGAGAGUGGAAUUCCAUGUGUAGCGGUGAAAUGCGUAGAUAUAUGGAGGAACACCGGUGGCGAAAGCGGCUCUCUGGCCUGUAACUGACACUGAGGCUCGAAAGCGU